AUGCGCGCAGCUGCGGGGGAGGGAGGCAUGGGGCGGCCACCGCCUACCUGUCCCGAAGGCCUUGGCCACCAGCCAGGCCAGAUUGCAGGCGAUUUUGGCUCUGGAGAAGUCGUAGUGGUCGAAGGGCUUGAUGGCCGGAACAAUGAACGUCCUCCUCCCGUCCCGGGGGUCCGCGGCAUCCCCCAUCCUCACGCGCUCCGGGCGCCGGCCCACCCUUCACAUGGCGCGGCCGGCCGCGGGGCCGGGGGGUCGGGGUCCCGGCCGAAGUCCCCGGGCCCCUCAGAGCAUCGGGCAGGCCCCGCGCCCGGCCCGGGGCGAGGCGACGCCGCGUCCGGCCGCCCCGCGAGCCUCCCGCGAACGCGCGUGCGGGCGCCUCCCCUUUGUCUCGGCGCGGCGGGGCCCGGGCGCGGCGGGGGCGUCCUCAGCGGUCACGUCGCGGGGGCCGUCCAGCCAUCGCGCCGCCCUCCGCGCACGGCCCGCCGAGGGGCGCCCCGCCGGUCGGAGCCCCGGGGCCUCGCCGGAGCGACGCGAUCGGGGAGUCGGGCGGCCGCCGCCCGGCGCGGACGGAGCCGAGAACGUCAAAGUCCCUGCGGCGCCGGCAGUCGCCCCUCGUCGCGCUCGCCCUCCGCCGCCGCGCGGACGCCGUCAGCCCGCCGCUCGGGCCCCGCCCGGCCAGCCCCGGCCCGCGCUCCGCCUGCGGCCGCCCGCGCGCUCGCCGCCUCAGCCGCCGCCGCUGCGGUUUUUCCGGCUGCCGCACUGAGACCGCGCGGCGGCGCCGUCUGCGCAUGCGCCCUCGCGCGGCCCGCCCGCCCGCCGCCCGGCCGGGUCCCGGCGACCCGCGGAGCAUGCGCGGUGGGCGCGGCCGCGCGGCGGGCCUCGCCAGUGCGCGUCCAGGCGUCCGGGCCCGGCGCGCGGCGGCCGCUGGCCCUGCUGGCGCGGGAGGGGGGAAGCGGGGAUGCGGGCCUGGCUGGGGCUUUCGGGCUUUCGCGAGCCGGUGCUGAGGCACAGAGAGCUGAUGUUUAUUGA
rnacentral:lncRNA from 1 species